rnacentral:rRNA from 1 species
UGGGGAAUAUUGGGCAAUGGGCGAAAGCCUGACCCAGCAACGCCGCGUGAAGGAAGAAGGUUUUCGGAUUGUAAACUUCUGUCCUCAGGGAAGAAGGAAGUGACGGUACCUGAGGAGGAAGCCCCGGCUAACUACGUGCCAGCAGCCGCGGUAAUACGUAGGGGGCGAGCGUUGUCCGGAAUGACUGGGCGUAAAGGGCGCGUAGACGGUUUUUUAAGUCUGGAGUGAAAGUCCUGCUUUCAAGGUGGGAAUUGCUUUGGAGACUGGGGGACUUGAGUGCGGAAGAGGUAAGUGGAAUUCCCAGUGUAGCGGUGAAAUGCGUAGAGAUUGGGAAGAACACCAGUGGCGAAGGCGACUUACUGGGCCGUAACUGACGUUGAUGCGCGAAAGCGUGGGGAGCGAACA